rnacentral:rRNA from 1 species
UAGGGAAUCUUCCACAAUGGACGCAAGUCUGAUGGAGCAACGCCGCGUGAGUGAAGAAGGUCUUCGGAUCGUAAAACUCUGUUGUUAGAGAAGAACACGAGUGAGAGUAACUGUUCAUUCGAUGACGGUAUCUAACCAGCAAGUCACGGCUAACUACGCGCCCAG